ensembl:lncRNA
GUUCAUCUUGUUCUUUCCGGCAACACGGUCAGAUGUAAUCAGAAGUUUUUGUGAAGAAAUACGCUCAAGGACAGCUUUUAUAUAACAAUCCGAGCUCGGUUUGAAAUACCCGAGGGGAGGAUUUUGUUCCUAAACUUUCACUUGGGAGAAGAAGACUUCUGGUAAGGCUUUAAGGACAUCUUCUGUUUCCACUUGUAGAAAGUCAUACAGUUGUGAACUAAUGAUAAUAUGCACUACCACAAAAAAUUACCUGUCACUCUUGAAGGUUUAAAAAAAAUAAAAUAAAAUCUAAUUCAGUAGUAAUUCAGUAGUAAACAAUCAACAGCAUGACAUUUGUAACGAGAUGCUAUCUAUAAAGGGAUGCAUUAGCUGCACUCAUAAAAUAUUGAUUAUCACACGUUGGGUUUUUUUAUUUUUUAUUUUUUUAGCCAUGGUAAUGGCUUUGGGUUCGUUCCCAUUAAACCCUUCAGCGUCCACAUUUCGCCUCUGUGCAAAGAUGCUUUUAUCAUGUUCAGAUUGGAAUUCAUGGUACAUUUGCUUCGAGCUGCUUACAGUUUUCCUCUCAGCAGCAUGCAAUCUUGUAGAAGAGGAUGAGUGGUUUUAAUAUAUUUAGAAAAAUAUAUCAAAUAUAAGGCUAUGAUAACAUAAUGACUCAUCCAUUACCUUAAAAGGAAACUUGAAUACCCUCGGAUAAAUGCAGCGCAUGCUGUACGUAUAGUUUAAUGGCACGUAUUACUUAUUUUUUGCAUCGUCUAUGUAUAUUCUUUACCAUUUAUCUUAUUGGAAGUAAUGCUACAGCAGGCACAGCUCAUUGUACAGCUUUUACAUGCCGAUAGUCAAGUUUAGUUGGUAAUGCUAUGUUACUGAUAUAUUGAAGCUGUCUGGAACCCAGCUUACGGAACAUUCAGUAACCUGCAGUACUGUGAAAAAGUCUUUGGCUUUUUGUGUAUAUUUCAUACUAACUUAUUUCAGAAAUUAAAACAAAAUCUAAGAUAAAACAAAGGCAACCUGAGUAAUCGCAAAAUACAGUUUUUAAAUGAUAAUGUUAUUUAUUGAGGUAAAAAAGUUAUCCAAUUCCAACUGGGCCUGUGUGAAAAAAUAUUCGCCCCAUAGUUACUAAUUCUCCAAAUCUAUGAAACUGCAUUUAUAAUGAGAUUCAGCUGGACUAGACGCAACCAGACCUGAUUACUGCAAACCCUGUUCAAUCAAAUCAACACUUAAAUAGAACUUUUUCAACAGCAUGAAUUUGGUUAAAAGGUCUCACCCAGUAACACACUACGCCAAAGUUGAAAGAAAUUCCAGAAAUGAUGAGGAAGAAGGUGGUUGAAAUGCAUCAGUCUGGGAAGGGUUACAAAGCUUUUUCAAAGGCUCUGAGACUCCAAAGAACCACAGUGAGAGCUGUUAUCUCCAAAUGGAAAAAACCUAGCACAGUAGUGAACCUUCCCAGAAGUGGCGGACCUUCCAAAAUUCCUCCAAGAGCACAGUGACGACUCAUCCAGGAAGUCACAGAAGAGCCAAGGACAACAUCAAAGGAACUACAGGCCUCUCCUGCAUCAAUAAAAAUCACUGCUCAUGAGAAAAAUGGCAUCCAUGGAAGAGUAGCAAGGUGAAAACCACCUCUAACCCAGAAGAACAUUAAGGCUCAUCUGAAUUUUGCCAAUACACACCUUGAUGAUCCACAAACCUUUUGGGAGAAUGUUCUGUGGACUGAUGAGUUGAAAAUUGAACUGUUUGGAAACAAUCAGAUUUUAAUUUAAGGGGGAAUUAGUUUUCAUAUUGAUGAUAGGUGUUGGAUAACUUUUUUGCUUCAAUAAAAAAAAAAAAAAAAAAAAAAAAACCUGUAUUGUAUGUUUACUCAGGUUGUCUUUCUUUUAUGUUGUAUUUCGUUUGCAGAUCUACAACUAUUUAGUAUGAGAUUUACACAAAAACAGAAGAAAUCAGGAUGGGGCAAAUACUGUUUCACAGCACUGUAGGUAAU